rnacentral:tRNA from 1 species
GGGGUGAUAGCUCAGUUGGGAGAGCGUACGACUGAAGUGAACUCCAGUCUCUUAUCGUAAGGCCGCCGGUUCAAAUCCCGGCUCGCCCCA